rnacentral:rRNA from 1 species
UACGGGGGGGGUAAGCGUUGUUCGGAAUUACUGGGCGUAAAGGGCUCGUAGGCGGCCAACUAAGUCGGACGUGAAAUCCCUCAGCUUAACUGGGGAACUGCGUCUGAUACUGGAUGGCUUGGAUUUGGGAGAGGGAUGCGGAAUUCCAGGUGUAGCGGUGAAAUGCGUAGAUAUCAGGAGGAACACCGGUGGCGAAGGCGGAUCUCUGGGCCUUACCUGACGCUCAGGUGCGAAAGCUAGGGGAGCGAACAGG